rnacentral:rRNA from 1 species
UGCUCAGAUUGAACGCUGGCGGCAGGCCUAACACAUGCAAGUCGAGCGGAUGACGGGAGCUUGCUCCUUGAUUCAGCGGCGGACGGGUGAGUAAUGCCUAGGAAUCUGCCUGGUAGUGGGGGACAACGUUUCGAAAGGAACGCUAAUACCGCAUACGUCCUACGGGAGAAAGCAGGGGACCUUCGGGCCUUGCGCUAUCAGAUGAGCCUAGGUCGGAUUAGCUAGUAGGUGAGGUAAUGGCUCACCUAGGCGACGAUCCGUAACUGGUCUGAGAGGAUGAUCAGUCACACUGGAACUGAGACACGGUCCAGACUCCUACGGGAGGCAGCAGUGGGGAAUAUUGGACAAUGGGCGAAAGCCUGAUCCAGCCAUGCCGCGUGUGUGAAGAAGGUCUUCGGAUUGGAGGCACUUUAAGUUGGGAGGAAGGGCAGU